rnacentral:misc_RNA from 1 species
UCUCCGUAGGUGAACCUGCGGAGGGAUCAUUACAGAGUUCUCGCCCUCGCGGGUAGAUCUCCCACCCACUGUUAUCGUUACUGUGUUGCUUUGGCGGGCCGCCGGGCCCCGCUCGGCCGCCGGCUCCGGCUGGCGCGCGCCCGCCAGAGGCCCAGCAAACUCUGAAUGUUAGUGUCGUCUGAGUACUAUAUAACAGUUAAAACUUUCAACAACGGAUCUCUUGGUUCUG